rnacentral:rRNA from 1 species
GAUGAACGCUGGCGGCGUGCCUAAUACAUGCAAGUCGAGCGAACGGACGAGAAGCUUGCUUUUCUGAUGUUAGCGGCGGACGGGUGAGUAACACGUGGAUAACCUACCUAUAAGACUGGGAUAACUUCGGGAAACCGGAGCUAAUACCGGAUAAUAUUUUGAACCGCAUGGUUCAAAAGUGAAAGACGGUCUUGCUGUCACUUAUAGAUAGAUCCGCGCUGCAUUAGCUAGUUGGUAAGGUAACGGCUUACCAAGGCAACGAUGCAUAGCCGACCUGAGAGGGUGAUCGGCCACACUGGAACUGAGACACGGUCCAGACUCCUACGGGAGGCAGCAGUAGGGAAUCUUCCGCAAAGGGCGAAAGCCUGACGGAGCAACGCCGCGUGAGUGGUGAAGGUCUUCGGAUCGUAAAACUCUGUUAUUAGGGAAGAACAUAUGUGUAAGUAACUGUGCACAUCUUGACGGUACCUAAUCAGAAAGCCACGGCUAACUACGUG